rnacentral:rRNA from 1 species
UACAGAGGUCUCAAGCGUUGUUCGGAUUCAUUGGGCGUAAAGGGCGCGUAGGCGGCGGGGUAAGUCGGGUGUGAAAUCUCAGAGCUCAACUCUGAAAUGGCACUUGAUACUGCUCUGCUAGAGGACUGGAGAGGAGAUUGGAAUUCACGGUGUAGCAGUGAAAUGCGUAGAUAUCGUGAGGAAGACCGGUGGCGAAGGCGGAUCUCUGGACAGUUCCUGACGCUGAGGCGCGAAGGCCAGGGGAGUAAACGGG